rnacentral:rRNA from 1 species
CCUACGUGGGGCUGCAGUGGGGAAUAUUGGACAAUGGGCGAAAGCCUGAUCCAGCCAUGCCGCGUGUGUGAAGAAGGCCUUCGGGUUGUAAAGCACUUUCAGUGGGGAAGAAAGCCUUGGGGCUAAUACCCUCGAGGAAGGACAUCACCCACAGAAGAAGCACCGGCUAACUCCGUGCCAGCAGCCGCGGUAAUACGGAGGGUGCGAGCGUUAAUCGGAAUUACUGGGCGUAAAGCGCGCGUAGGCGGUCUGAUAAGCCGGUUGUGAAAGCCCCGGGCUCAACCUGGGAACGGCAUCCGGAACUGUCAGGCUAGAGUGCAGGAGAGGAAGGUAGAAUUCCCGGUGUAGCGGUGAAAUGCGUAGAGAUCGGGAGGAAUACCAGUGGCGAAGGCGGCCUUCUGGACUGACACUGACGCUGAGGUGCGAAAGCGUGGGUAGCAAACAGGAUUAGAUACCCGUGAGUC